CUUUUGUACACAUUGAUACUACAAUGGCAUAUUUUGGAGUUUAUUUCCUCAUUUGCUGGAACACAGGAUAUCAUUUUCCACGAUGAGGACCUAGACACGACAAUGACUUUUGAAGGACGACAUGAAGCUUUUUCUUCUAGCAAUUGUGCACAAUGAGUAUAAGAUCAUUGCAUGGUUCUAGUGGCGGAGUUAGGAUUUUAUUCAAGGGAGCAACAUUUACAUAAAUAUUUGUGCUUGAUUAUAUAACGCGGUUGCUAGCAUCGAGGAGAGCCGUCAUCGACGAGAAAGUGGGAGUUCGGACUUGGCGAACGAGCUCUUUCCGCAGGGGAGGAAAGCGGGGCAGGCCGAUUCUCCUAUAAAUAAAUAGAGGAUCCGGGCCUUUUUGGGGGGAGAAAGGGCAAAACAUCGGGUCAUCCUUUUUCGUUGAAUGUCCCGGGCCCGAUUUAGAGAAAGAACUUUUCCUUUGCUGUAGGGCUGGGGAGAACCAUUCAA